AUGAAUUAAAUUGGUAUCUUGUUUCCAUUCUUAAUUUGUAACUUACAUUACGAACUUGUUUUGUCAAAAGUAAAAACUUUUUGAAAAUUAGUAGAAAAGUAAAAAGUUAUUUAUUAGAUUUUCUCUAUGAAGUCAACAUUUGUACACAAAAACUAGGAUGCUUUGUUCCAGGGUAUCCUUAUGUUGACCAAAUAGGCAUUGUACUAUUUUUAUGUUGACACUCGUGAUCCUAUUUCAUGGGAAAUUUUUCAAAAGUUGCAUAUUAUGUUAGUAUAAUAUCUUAUAAAUGAUAUAGUUUAACUAAAAUUAUUUAAAUAAAGGUAUUUUAAAGUAAAAAAUGAGUUUGAAAGGGUUAGGGGUAAGCUAAUAUUACUCUAAAUGUUGAAAAAAUUUUCGUUUUACUAUGCCAAUUACCGCAUAGCCGCCAUAAAAGUGGGUCAUGUUUGGUGUCUUUGAAAAGCUUACAGUCAUCUCUACUAGUCCAUUUCAAUGACUCAAUUCAUCUAAAAAUAACCAUGGCCUUGAAACUAGUUCAAACUAGACCACUACACGUGUCUAUUCAAAUCCGAUUGGAUCAUGAUGUGUAUUUAUGAAAUAAACGAUUUUGAUUGGUUCCUUUCGGCCAUGUGGUUCUGAUGUUUACAGCAACAAUGAUGGCGUCUGUGAAUCAAUAGAAGACCCUUUUGGAUAUUGUAUGCUAUUUUUGCCAUUAUUAUUUACGGUAAGUACAUGUUUCCUAAUAUUUUUUUUAGAUCUAAAUGUAGCAUUAUCAUAAAAACAUAGAUCUAGGGGUCGGACAAGCAUGUAAUAAUAACCAUUCAUAAUAUAGUCAUGUUAUUGCGUGUUUAGUUACUAGAUCUAGUUUAGUUACUACUUUUAACUUUUAGCCUUACUUAGGGCUAGGCUAGUCUAAGGCUUCCCACUAGUCUAGAUCUAGAUUCAUAUUCUAGAUGCCUUAGUAUUUGGAUUGAUCUAGUUCUAUAAAAUAUAUAAAUAUUCAUUUUAGAUUCAAGAUCUAUAUAGAUCUAUCUCUAUCAUCUAUAAAUCUUGUCUACUUUAGUCUAGAUCUAGAUCUCCAUUUCAUGAGCAGUAAAAUCGUAUCCAUUGCAGAAGAUUAGAUUCUAGAUAAUUCUAGUUGUUGCUUUUUCUAGAUCUAAAAUAACUUUGAUGACUCAAGAAUAAAUAGCUUGAGUCUGAGUAUUGUGUAAAUGAGUAAUGAGAGAGUCCUGCUAGUGUAGAUUUAUUUACUAGAUUUCUAGAUCUAAAUUUUACUAGUAACUAGGCUACAAUGGCAUACAUACAUUUACUUUUUCCUUUUAUUUCCAGUCUCACUAUCUCCUGACUACAAUUAGAAGUAAUGAUCUAUCUAAUCUGUUACAAGGAUAUAGACAUAGAUCUACACACAUUAGGAAUUGUAGAUCAAAACAACACAUGCAGUACACUGACCCUUCCUCUUGUUGGAAGAAAACAUCACCACAUACUAGUACCUCGUCAACCAUCUACCCUGUCUGAAAGCUGCCUAAAUACUGCAGUAUGACAUAGAAGUACUUCAUAAUCAAACACCACAUCACAUGCUGCUUAUCACAUAUAUAGCAAUAAUUUCCACUUUAUAGACCUUUGAUCUGUAUCAUGUUAACAACCUGGGAUUCUUUUGUCGUUGGAUGCUGUCGUUGACCACCACCUCAAGCUGCAAAGACAUAAAGUUCUACCUAACUUAUUUCAUUACAAGAUUCAUCAUCAAGCACUGUUCAUGGUGAACCAAUUUUAUCAUCAGCUACUGUUCGUUGUAGCUGUACACAUGCAAUGAGCUUCAGUCUCGCCAUGUCACAUUAUAUCAGCAUUUCUUACCAUCUAUAACGUUUAUAUUGCACAGCAUACAUAUGAGCAUUAUCAGCUCAAUGGCUAUAUAUAAAAAGCCAUAUCAUAUUACAAUGAAGGACUGUCUACUAUAAAGGCACUGCACUCUACAAUUAUUCAGCCACCUAAAACAAACAAGUUGCAUUUAUUUUCAAAUACUGGUUCCAUUCUAUUCACUGGAUUUAUUAUUGUGUGUACUCUAUCAAACCACUAGUGUGAGUACAGAUAACAUUAGUGCUUAUGAAAAUUAUUUGAACUGGUGUAGGUAAUUUUAUUUUUUUUUUACUUUAAAAAACUUUUUGUGUAAACCACAUUCAUAUAUUAAUUAUAUUUUAACUAUUUAUUUACUUAUUAUUUGCAUGUAUUUAUAAUUUAGGGAUACUUGAUUUUUAGUGGUUUUGGGGCUUACAUUAAUGUCUGAAAAGUAACAAUUUGACUUAUUAUGUCUCCGGGUCAAUUUCUUUUUGCACAGAGAGGGCGGGGGCUGUGGGUAAGCCAUCUAAAAUAAAUUUUAACAAUAUUUUAAUAAAUUUUGUGUUUGCUUCUAUUUCUAAAUGUUACAUGAGCUAAAUAAAACAUCUUUUUAAACAAUAUAUA